AGCAAGUGAAGCUGGGACCUCUCAUAUGAGAGUCCUGUGCUCUACCACACACCGUAGUAUAUCUUCAGUAUAUUUUUGAAAGUCUUUUUUUUUUUUGCCCCCAGGGUUAUUGUUCUGGGUCAGUGCCUGGACUACGAAUGCACUGCUCCUGCUCCAGUGGUAUGGGACUACGUGAAAGCUGGCAGAGCUUAGGGGAGCUCUCCCAUCCUUGUGAUGGAGGUCUGGAAAGACACCUCACUUAUUAGACUCUCCCUUCUAGGGAUGGAGCUAAGAGGGAAAUGCUUUCCAUGAAUCAGUUUCCCCUUGUUAGCCUCUCAAAGCCUCACAGAAAGCCUGCAUCCUCUCACACUUAGUUCACUCCCCUGCUAGCAGACCAAAUGGCUGCCUGGUUGUAAGGUCACUCAGGUUCACCAUAUUCACUCAGAGAUCACCAUAUUCACUCAGAGUUCACCAUAUUCACACAGAGAUCACCAUAUUCACUCAGAGUUCACCAUCCUUUCAUCCUUAGAUCACAUACAUAAGCAUACUACAUCACAAGCCUUGCCAGCACCCUGGCAGUGAGACCCCCACACCUAUUUCCUUGCCUUUGAUAUCUAUGAUUUACAUCAAGCUUUGUCCUUCUCUGCUUAAUCUCACCUUACUGGUUUCACCACUGUGUUUUUCUUAAUACCUUUAGAUAAUUAACAUGCCUUGCAUCGUGGGAAUUAAUUGCUUUGACCUUUCUGUAUCUCAUCAAUUCUUGUCAUUCCUACCUCCCCACCAUAGGGGUAGCUGACCUUUAAGAAACCUGUAAUUUCUGACAUAUUUGAAAAAUGUCCUUUGUUCUGUUUGCUAUAAAACCUGUACUUAUUCUAAAUAAAGUAGAAGUUCAUACCUGAA